rnacentral:rRNA from 1 species
AGUGAACGCUGGCGGUAGGCCUAACACAUGCAAGUCGAACGGCAGCACAGUAAGAGCUUGCUCUUACGGGUGGCGAGUGGCGGACGGGUGAGGAAUACAUCGGAAUCUACUUUUUCGUGGGGGAUAACGUAGGGAAACUUACGCUAAUACCGCAUACGACCUACGGGUGAAAGCAGGGGAUCUUCGGACCUUGCGCGAUUGAAUGAGCCGAUGUCGGAUUAGCUAGUUGGCGGGGCAAAGGCCCACCAAGGCGCCGAUCCGUAGCUGGUCUGAGAGGAUGAUCAGCCACACUGGAACUGAGACACGGUCCAGACUCCUACGGGAGGCAGCAGUGGGGAAUAUUGGACAAUGGGCGCAAGCCUGAUCCAGCCAUACCGCGUGGGUGAAGAAGGCCUUCGGGUUGUAAAGCCCUUUUGUUGGGAAAGAAAAGCAGCAGGUUAAUACCCCGCUGUUCUGACGGUACCCAAAGAAUAAGCACCGGCUAACUUCGUG